GUUCUCGUAGUGGUAAAUGAGGCCGGUGCCCUCUGGAGGUGUUUGGCUAAUUGAUAACUUGCCCUGGAGUGUGUGGUUACUGGUAACACAGAGGUUUCAUGUAUCAGGACUGGAGGGUUCCUAGUGAACACUGAAGGCUGGAGGGGGUCGGGGAACAGGGGAGCAAGAACACCAAACAGUAAGAGAGAGAGACACAGAGAGAGAGAGAGGGAGAGGGAGAGGGAGAACGAGAAAGAAAGGCAGUUGUGUAUUAAGCAUACCACAUCUUCCCGCUAAAGGAGUACUCAAAUACUUAAAAUGUGAUAUUACAAAAUGAAUUACAUUAAAAACACUUUAGUACUUCAGCCUUACUAAUUUAUAAGAUAAUUGCCAUUUGGAUCGUAUUAAUAAUACACACUGCAGUUGUUCUGUCUUAAAGCGGUAAAUAAAAAAUGUCGACUCUAGCUCGAAUAGAGUCCAGUGGAGCUCCAUUUCUAGUCCUGAAUGUCUCUUGUCUUCCCUUGAGGGGCGGGGUACUGUUGGAGGAGAGGGGUAGCUGCCAGGUCCCUGUGGUGCGCUGAUAAAACAGGCUGCUGGGUUGGCACCGCGGGGACACACCGCAGAUUGAUACGCUGCUCAUUUAUCAGCUUAUUCUAAUCCACGGCUCCUCCACACGGACAAGAGACGCCGUACCCAGACCUCCGCUAGACGGACCAAGCUGUCAGCAUGGGGACAGUGACGAUGAUGAUGAUGAAGGUGGGGGCGAGGGUGAUAUGAGGGCGGAUGCUGAUGAUGAUUUUGGCGGUCAGGACGUUCACCGAUACGACGUGAGAUCAUGAGGGAGGGACAUGGAUGAUGAUGGUGAUGAUGCCGGUACACAUACAAACAUGAACCAAAAGAGUUGACGACCGCGUAGAUGACGAAGACGACGAUGAGGAUAAUGAAGAUGAAGGUGGCUCGUCCAUUCCUCGGGGUCAGAGGUCGGGCCGGUCUCAGAGAGAGGCUGUCACUGCGAGUCAAAACAUUUGAUGGCCAUCCGUGCGUGAUGAGGCCGCUGUUACUGGGGAGGAGAGGAAGACGAGGGGGGGGGGGGGGGGAGGACCGAGAGGAAGAUGAAGAUGAAGAGCGAGAGAAAGGCUGGUGAUACAGAGCAGCCUCCUGAUUAAUUGAAGUAAAGCGCUCCUUCCCAUCUGCAGAUGGGGCUGGGAACUUGCUGCUCACCACCUGGUCUGGAGUCAGGGCCCAACUGCUGCUGGGCUGCUGCUGCCGUGACGAUGAGGCUGACCCGCUUUUACACGUAUUCUGACGUGAGGGAUGCUUGUCCCAGUUUGUCAGUUCAGCUCUGGUUAAAAUAUGAAGCUCUGGUUUAUUGUUGUGGUGCUUUUUGUGAAAGGUUUCCCCCAAAUGAUUGUAUAGUAGAAAUGUAUUACAUUUUCAUUGAUGAAAUGACCUGGGUCAGUUUGCAAAUGGAGCACUUUUUUUGUUGAUGAACCAGAUUAAUGUUUUGUACUCUGGCUUGUUAGUAUAGCAGAAACUUCAGCGCAGGAAAAAAGUGUCGGCCCCAAUUCUAGCCCAAUCCCAGUCAUCCAUGCAUAAGAUGGGGGGUGGGCUUCAUUUAGAUGGCGUGACACGAGAGAGGAAGUAAAGAUUAGGACCACAGGGAAGGCGUCCACAUGAUCACUCUAUCCCUCUCUCUCUCUCUUUCUCUCUCUGUCUCUCUCUCUCUCUCUCUCUCUCUCUCUCUCUCUCUCUCUCUCUCUCUCUCUCCCCCUCUCUCUCUCCCACUGACCUAUAGGGCCCAGCGCUCUGCAGGCCAUGCCUCCAUGUCAAUGUUUCUUCUAACCAUAACAACCCUGGGGACCUCUGACCCCAAUAAGGAAAGACACCGCUAGAUCAACAAACAGCCUCCUGCAGCCCCCAACACUAAGCCCCUAGUCCUGUGUAAGGCGAGCAGGGGGCGUCGGUGGAGACAGUAGGGGGGUUGGAGGUGGUACAGGUGGUUUUAGGCAGACGCAUUGUUUCAAAUAAUAUGUAAAUAAUUGUUCCCACCCCUCAAGGUUAACACCUUUCCCACUAACUAGCCCGAUGCUCCCCGGCUCGCAGACCGGGGCGGACGAGCCGGGCCGACGGGUCGGAUUAGGUCACACACUGUUCGUGUUGUUCCUCAUUCGGGAGGAUUGUUCUAAUCCUCUCUUUAAAAAACAGAAACGACAUUGGCUCCAGUUUAGCCUCUGUUUCAGGUCAGAUGUGUGGGUGUAAGCUUAUUAGACGAGGAAUAAAUAUGUGGAUUACUCGGAGGCAUUGGGUUUUGUGCUGAUGCUAAUGUAGUAGUGUCGAUAUAUCCAGCAUUAAAAAGCAUUUCUUGUCAUAUCUUAGCUUGAUAAGAAAUGAGCUUGGCUUAGCUUAUUACAUUUAUUUUAUAGAUAAUUGUAUUUAGUUAACUUAAUAAAUAAUCUAAAAGCAUCCUAUUAUAUUCCCUGUUAUGUGAUAGAGUAAGAAUUCUGC